AACCUUGUCCUGUUGAGGGUUCGAGAGGCUGCUCCACCUUCCCUUCCCAUCCCGAUGUGUCAGGGUUGGGUUGGAGGAGAGCCCAAGCCUGAGCAUGUAAUAAAGAGACCCUAAUGUUAUUACAUUGGAAACGGCUCCUUGGUGGUCUUUGGGGUUCACAAACACUUCCUGGCACAACAUUGUAAGCCACCUGAUGUGGGUGCUGGGAAGUAAACCCAGGUACCCUGCAAGAACAAUGAUUACUCUCAUCCCCUGGCAAUCCAUGGUGGUGCUCCAGCCCUAGUCAGUCUUUAUAAUGAUAAGUCAUUGGCAGUAAGAGCUUACAAUUUAUGGUAUAUAAAUAAAGAUGCAUAAAACUAAUUUACUGCCUGCAAACAGCACUACAUACUACUAUUAUGUAUCCCUGCUAUCCCAGCUCUCAACUCUUCACCUCUUUCUCCCUCUCUUACACACACACACACACACACACACACACACACACACAUACAUAUACAUACAUACAUACAUACAUACAUACAUACAUACAUAUGUAUAUGUAUGACUGAGGCAAGCAGGUCUCUGAGUUCGAGCCCAGCCUGGGACAAAGCAAGUUCUAGAUCCAGGCAUAGUGGUACACACCUUUAAUCUGGGCCACACCUUCUACUGAGGCCUACAUAAGGACACUGGAAGAAGGAUGACUCAUUCUUCUUUAUCUGCUUGCACAUACUUGUCAGCACAUCUGUUGGAACCUAAUUCUUCAGGAUUUCAGUUUAUAGAGAAGAUCAGCUGAAGCAACUAGCCUCGUGGGACUGAGCGAAUACUAGAACUUUGGACUUCCCAUUAACAACUACCCACUGUUAGAGGUCAGGAGAUAUCUUGUGGGAGCUGGUUCUCUUCUUUAUCCAUGGGCACCCUGGAUGGAACUCAGAUGUCAGGCUUGGCAAAGAGCAUCUUUACCCACGGAGCCAUGGUGCUGGCUCACUGCUUGAUUUCUUUUUCAUGUAAGUCAAUGUCUGUGUGCUGAAAUAUUUGAUUUCUAUGUUGCAUUUCUUUCUUGCUCUAAUAGAGUUAUUUUAGAGGGAUUAUGGAAUGAUUAUGGUUUUCUAUAUACAAGAUCAUUGACAACCUCACCUCUUCCUUUUCUAUUUGGAGGCCUCUGUGUCUUUGCCAAAUCACCCUGUCAAGGACUUCUAGCACUUACUUCCUUGAACAGAAGAGGUUGGUAGAGAAGAAAUGUCUCGUCUUGUUCCUGACCCUAGAAUGAAGCCUUCCAGCUUUUACCCCCGAGUUCCAUGUCAGCUGUGUGUUUGUCAAACGUGGCCUUUAUCAUAAUGGGGUGCAUUCUUUCUAUGUCUUAUUUUGUGUGAGCUUUAUGACUUUACAAAUAAAAUGGUUCCCCCCAGAAAAACAGAUUAAA